rnacentral:sRNA from 1 species
AUAUUCCCCUCCACACAGAAAUCACGGAUGCGGCAUCUCUGCAAGCUCUCACUCCGCCGCCGACGGAAACGAGAAAACUGCAUCCCGCAGUCACGCCUCCGCUUCUUCCCAUGAGCUUCCAUUCUCUUCUCCCCUUCCCUUCUAAGCUUCAAUUGCUCCACUGCCCAGUGCCCAUGAGGCCAUGAACCGAGGAUCUGAGGGGUGAGGCAAGAAACGCCGCAGGCUUAGGCUCGGCCACCCGCAGUUGGUCGCCUUGGAGGCGCGGCCGCGCGGGGUUGAGCAAUCGUCCGCGAACGAGGAGGGUUGAGCAAGCUGGUGCGCCGGAGGUAGGCAAGCAACAGAUGCCGGCUUGGGGUUUCUGGUUUAUUGAUUUAGUCAAUGGGGAAAUGUAAUCUAUGACUUUAUGACUUUUUGUUUGAGAUUUUGAUUAAUCUCUUUGUGAAUUUGUAUAUUCAGGACGUAAUUG